GGAUAGAUCAGUCGGUGGAGCAUGAGAUUCUUAAUCUCAGGGUCUUGGGUUUGAAUCCCAUGUUGGGCA